rnacentral:lncRNA from 1 species
GUUAGGUAUCUUCCUUUACUGGCAGCUACAUUCAGUUUUCCUCAAAGCCUUGGGAUCCUAGGAGGCAGGCCUGGAGCCUCGACCUACAUUGUCGGCGUGCAGGAUGAUCAAGCCUUUUAUCUUGAUCCACAUGAAGUUCAGCCAGUAAUUGUUUCUUUCCUUUUUAUUGGGUGGCAGACCUGGAGCCUCGACCUACAUUGUCGGCGUGCAGGAUGAUCAAGCCUUUUAUCUUGAUCCACAUGAAGUGCAGCCAGUAAUUCUUGCUUUCUUUUUUAUUGUAUUUAUGCCAUUUCACACAUACUGAUUGAAAUUUCAAUAAUUUAUUACUACUUACAAUCUAGGGUUAAUUGGCGAUCCUUAAAAUCAAACUUUCCAUGUUUAGAUGUUAUAGAUGGAAAUCAGCUUCUUUCCGUGCUGGCUGACUUCAACAAUCUAUCAAUAAUUACCACAUCAAGAAUGUCAUAAUUGUUUGGUCUUUGUUACCUUUUUUAUGCUUAUUAAGAUUUGAAGUUUUUUCCAUUUGAUUCAUUUGUGUGGAGAAAAUUGGUGGAUUUUAUGUAGCACCGCAAUCUGGUUUUUAUAGGUCGGCUUUUGCCCGGAAUCCGUCAUUUUUUGUAUUAGGGAUGAUGUCAUCCAAUAUAUUCGAAAGCAGCAGCAUUCAGUAUGGGAUGGUAUAAGAAGCACCCGAAUGAAAUAAAAAAAAUCAUUUGGCUUUUAAAGUUCGAUUUAAGGGUUCUUAUU